UCCAGCGGCAGUCAGCUGUACAGGCCUGUGCAGUGCCUGAGCUAGUGUUACUCUGCUGGAAAAGAAAGGCACUGCUGUUUAGGCUAUGUCCAGGGCUUGCUGUUUUAGCAGUCUUGCACCAUGGCUAUUGUGGUGUCUUGCCCAACUGAGAGUGGGCUGCUUACACAUCCCAUGUGGGCAGCCCUAGUCUGUGGGCAAACAUU